rnacentral:rRNA from 1 species
UACAGAGGUGGCAAGCGUUUGUUCGGAAUUACUGGGCGUAAAGGGCGCGUAGGCGGUUCGAUAAGUCCUGUGUGAAAUCCCCUCGGCUCAACUGAGGAACUGCACGGGAGACUGUCGGGCUUGAGUUCGGGAGAGGGAAGCGGAAUUCCGGGUGUAGCGGUGAAAUGCGUAGAUAUCUGGAGGAACACCGGUGGCGAAGGCGGCAUCCUGGACCGGCAUUGACGCUGGAGGCGCGAAAGCCAGGGGGAGCAAAACGGG